rnacentral:rRNA from 1 species
AGUAACACGUGGGCAACCUACCUUAUAGUUUGGGAUAACUCCGGGAAACCGGGGCUAAUACCGAAUAAUCUAUUUUACUUCAUGGUGAAAUACUGAAAGACGGCAUCUCGCUGUCGCUAUAAGAUGGGCCCGCGGCGCAUUAGCUAGUUGGUGAGGUAACGGCUCACCAAGGCGACGAUGCGUAGCCGACCUGAGAGGGUGAUCGGCCACACUGGGACUGAGACACGGCCCAGACUCCUACGGGAGGCAGCAGUAGGGAAUCUUCCACAAUGGGCGAAAGCCUGAUGGAGCAACGCCGCGUGAGUGAAGAAGGUUUUCGGAUCGUAAAACUCUGUUGUAAGGGAAGAACAAGUACAGUAGUAACUGGCUGUACCUUGACGGUACCUUAUUAGAAAGCCACGGCUAACUACGUGCCAGCAGCCGCGGUAAUACGUAGGUGGCAAGCGUUGUCCGGAAUUAUUGGGCGUAAAGCGCGCGCAGGCGGUCCUUUAAGUCURAUGUGAAAGCCCACGGCUCAACCGUGGAGGGUCAUUGGAAACUGGGGGACUUGAGUGCAGAAGAGGAAAGUGGAAUUCCAAGUGUAGCGGUGAAAUGCGUAGAGAUUUGGAGGAACACCAGUGGCGAAGGCGACUUUCUGGUCUGUAACUGACRCUGAGGCGCGAAAGCGUGGGGAGCAA